rnacentral:lncRNA from 1 species
CCUCUGAGGGGAAGGGCCCCACCCCCAACUCCCAGCGGCGAUUCCCUCCCCACCGCAGACACAACACCGGGGAAUUGUCCGGGAUGCUUUAUUGGAGGGAGGGGACAGCCCGCGGUCACUUCUUGGCCUCCUCCUCCUUGGAGAGGGUUUUGAUGAUCUCCUCCUUCUUGGCCUGCAGCCGCUCCUCCCGGCGCUUCCGCGCCUCCUUGGUCUUGGAGCGCCGCGCCUCCGCCUGGUCCCUGCGGGGCCGGGGCCGUGAGGAGGGCCCGGGGCAGCCGCGGCCCGCCCCGAGCUCUGCCCCGAGCUCUGCCCCGGCCCGCCCCGAGCUCUGCCCCGGCCCGCCCCGAGCUCUGCCCCGACCGGCCCCGAGCUCUGCCCCGGCCCGCCCCGAGCUCUGCCCCGAGCUCUGCCCCGGGCCGCCCCGAGCUCUGCCCCGGGCCCGGGGCACGGCUGAGCCACCCCAGCCCUGGGAUUUCCCAGUCCCCACCUCACUCAGGGAUUUCCGGGAUUUCCCAGUUCCCACCUCACUCAGGGAUUUCCCAUUUCCCACCUCACUCAGGGAUUUCUGGGAUUUCCCAGUUCCCACCUCACUCAGGGAUUUCCCAUUUCCUACCUCAGUCAGGGAUUUCCCAGUCCCCACCUCAGUCAGGCAUUUCCCAUUUCCCACCUCACUCAGAGAUUUCCAGGAUUUCCCAGUUCCUACCUCAGUCAGGGCUUUCCCAUUUCCCACCUCACUCAGGGAUUUCCCAUUUCCCAGUCCCCACCUCACUCAGGGAUUUCUGGGAUUUCUCAUCUCCCACCUCAGUCAGGGAUUUCCGGGCUUUCCCAUCUCCCACCUCAGUCAGGGAUUUCUGGGAUUUCCCAUUUCCCACCUCACUCAGGGAUUUCCCAGCCCCACCUCAGUCGGGGAUUUCUGGGAUUUCCCAUCUCACUCAGGGAUUUCCCAGCCCCACCUCACUCAGGGAUUUCCGGGAUUUCCCAUUUCCCAGUUCCCACCUCAGUCAGGGAUUUCCCAGCCCCACCUCAGUGGGGAUUUCUGGGAUUUGGGAUCUCCCACCUCACUCAGGGAUUUCCCAUUUCCCAUUUCCCACCUCACUCAGGGAUUUCCCGGCCCCACCUCAGUGGGGAUUUCUGGGAUUUGGGAUCUCCCAGCUCCCAGCAGGUUUCCCUGGUGCCGAGCCCCCCUGCAGCAGCACUUACGCC